rnacentral:lncRNA from 1 species
CAUGAGUUGUCCACUUAUAUUGUGUUCUUGUCCUUAUAGAUUAACUACACUUAUGGUAUUCUCACUGUCCCUUAUAGGUAUCCUAGAUACUAACAAAUUGAUCGGACCCAACUAUGUCGACUAAUUAAGAAACAUGAGAAUUAUCCUCAUCCAGGAGAAAGUCUCCUAUAUUCUGGAUACACCUGCUCCAGAUUCUCUUGGAAAAG